rnacentral:lncRNA from 1 species
UUUUUUUUUUUUUCUUUUUUUUUCUUUUUUCUCUUUUCUUAUAUUUUUUUUUUAUUUCCAUUAUUUUUUUUUUUUCAUUGUGUGUUUUUAGAUUGUAUUGUAAAAGUGCAGAGCGUGGCGGGAAGUGUGUGGCGGUGGCAGGGGGAGGGAGGGGGGGGGGGAGAGGCACUGAUAUGGCAACACUGCUAUACUGUCACUCACACAUGGCAACACUGCUACACUCACUGGCUGACUGGUUCUCUCUCUCUCUCUCUCUCUCGUCAGUUUUUUUUCUCAAAUUAAGCCUAUAGGAAUUGCAUAGACCUAUUUAUACACUGUCUGUCUGUCUGUCUGUCUGUACCACCACCACCACCACCAACAACAACAACAACAACAAUUCAGUUCACUUAUUUCAACUGUCUGCUACACGAGAGAGAGAGAGAGAGAGAGAGAGAGAGAGAGAGAGAGAAAGCAGUGUUGUCAUGUGUCUUCCCCUACCACCACCACCACCACCACUACCACCACUACUACUACUACUACUACUACUACUACUACUACUACUACUACUACUACUACUACUACUACUACUACUACUGCCACACAUCCCGACACACCCUGUACACUGUUAAUGCCACGUGUUUUGUUGUAACCAGUAGCAUGAGGGUUUUCAAAUGCUUAGGGCAGACAAGUGAAGACGAACAGAAAGAGUGUUAAGGAAUUUUUCUCAUUGGUUUCCUCUUAAUGGAGAAAAUUGUCUAGUUUUUAUUUUAUUUUUCUCUUUUCUGGUUUUUUAAUGGAGAUAUUUUUAAGUCAGUCUAGAAAAUUUGUUUGUAUUGUUUUUGAGAAGUGUGUGUGUGUGUGAAUCAGUCAGUCAGUCGUUCAGUCAGUCAGUAAUUAGUGAUGUGAAGUGCCCCUUAUCAAUGUGUCAGUUAGUUAAUGCCACGACUGACUGACUGACUGACUGGCUGGCUGACUGACUGACUGAGUAGAGGAACUGACUGACUGGCUGACUGAGUAGAGGAAUUAAUUUUACUGAUUUUACUCUCAAAUUUAAAUGUAUCUAAAAUAUUUCCCGCUUUUAUUCAUUAACUGACAAAACACACACACACACACACACACACACACACACACACACACACACACACACACACACACACACACACACAUAACGAUCAAAUAAGGUAGUAAAAUUAAAGAAGCAUUUGGGAGCCCUUUCUGACCGUCUAACUUUACCCAAACUAAUUGUGGAUCUCAGCUGGACAUUAUCAUAACUACUGUAAUGUUAACUAUUGUCUAACUCUCAAUAUCUUCAAAAGUUCCCUGUUCUCUCCGCUCAGCUCGUCAAGGAAGGCUGGAGAGCAAAGUUAUUCAGGUGGGAGGUUUUCAAUGGUGUCUUUUUGUGGUUUCUGUAGUAGUUUGGCAGCUUUGAAGGGGUGUAGUGGGAGUUCCUGGGGUUUUGAAGGGUGUUUUGAUGGUUCCAGUGGUAGUUUGACAGUUUAACAGGCUGCAGUGGAAGUUAUUGGUGUUUUGAAGGGUGUUUAUAUCAUUCCAGCAAUAGUUUAAGGACACUUUUAAUCAGUAGAGGAGAUUUAGGCUUUCAACAGCGCUUUUUUAUCAUUCCUGUGACGAAAAAAAUGGUAAUAAUGAAAUAAAAACACCUUUGAAAACCUAGCCUAACCUGACCUUAUCAUCUGUGGCCUUGCAAAACACAGCUGAGAGAGAAGAGGAGACGUUUGGAAAUAUGAGACCAGUGUUUUUAUUUUAUUUUUUUUUAUGGUAUAUGAUUUUAGUGUAGUGUGUGUAUCCCUCCCCCCUUUCCUCCUGCCCCAGCCGCCCCCCCCAUCUCCCAAACCCCAGUGCCUCAUCCCACCCCCCCCCCCAUUGUAUCAUUUGUUGCGUAUACAUUUCUACUGGAUAAUAAAAAGAUUGAUGAAGUAA